AAGCGUAACAAGGUCUCCGUUGGUGAACCAGCGGAGGGAUCAUUACCGAGUUUACAACUCCCAAACCCCUGUGAACAUACCACUUGUUGCCUCGGCGGAUCAGCCCGCUCCCGGUAAAACGGGACGGCCCGCCAGAGGACCCCUAAACUCUGUUUCUAUAUGUAACUUCUGAGUAAAACCAUAAAUAAAUCAAAACUUUCAACAACGGAUCUCUUGGUUCUGGCAUCGAUGAAGAACGCAGCAAAAUGCGAUAAGUAAUGUGAAUUGCAGAAUUCAGUGAAUCAUCGAAUCUUUGAACGCACAUUGCGCCUGCCAGUAUUCUGGCGGGCAUGCCUGUUCGAGCGUCAUUUCAACCCUCAAGCACAGCUUGGUGUUGGGACUCGCGUUAAUUCGCGUUCCCCAAAUUGAUUGGCGGUCACGUCGAGCUUCCAUAGCGUAGUAGUAAAACCCUCGUUACUGGUAAUCGUCGCGGCCACGCCGUUAAACCCCAACUUCUGAAUGUGACCUCGAUC
rnacentral:rRNA from 1 species